GAUGAACGCUAGCGAUAGGCCUAACACAUGCAAGUCGAGGGGCAGCACAUGAAGUAGCAAUACGGAUGGUGGCGACCGGCGCACGGGUGAGUAACGCGUAUGCAACCUGCCUACAACAGGGGAAUAACCCGUUGAAAGACGGACUAAUACCCCAUAACACAGGGAUCCCGCAUGGGAAUAUUUGUUAAAGAUUUAUCGGUUGUAGAUGGGCAUGCGUUCCAUUAGCUGGUUGGUGAGGUAACGGCUCACCAAGGCAACGAUGGAUAGGGGAACUGAGAGGUUUAUCCCCCACACUGGUACUGAGACACGGACCAGACUCCUACGGGAGGCAGCAGUGAGGAAUAUUGGUCAAUGGACGCAAGUCUGGACCAGCCACGUCGCGUGAAGGAAGACGGCCCUACGGGUUGUAAACUUCUUUUGUAAGGGAAUAAAGUGCAGUACGUGUACUGUUUUGCAUGUACCUUACGAAUAAGGAUCGGCUAACUCCGUGCCAGCAGCCGCGGUGAUACGGAGGAUCCGAGCGUUAUCCGGAUUUAUUGGGUUUAAAGGGUGCGCAGGCGGGAGAUUAAGUCGGCGGUGAAAUUUUGCAGCUCAACUGUAAAAGUGCCUUCGAAACUGGUUUUCUUGAGUGUGGAUGAAGUAGGCGGAAUUUGUGGUGUAGCGGUGAAAUGCAUAGAUAUCACGAGGAACUCCGAUUGCGCAGGCAGCUCACUAAACCACAACUGACGCUCAGGCACGAAGGCGUGGGGAUCAAACA
rnacentral:rRNA from 1 species